GACGAACGCUGGCGGCAUGCCUAAUACAUGCAAGUCGAGCGAACAGAUGAAGUGCUUGCACUUCUGACGUUAGCGGCGAACGGGUGAGUAACACGUAAGGAAUCUACCUAUAAGCGGGGGAUAACAUUCGGAAACGGGUGCUAAUACCGCAUAAUAUCUUCUUCCGCAUGGAAGAAGAUUGAAAGACGGCUCUGCUGUCACUUAUAGAUGACCUUGCGGUGCAUUAGUUAGUUGGGGGGGUAACGGCCUACCAAGAAGAUGAUGCAUAGCCGACCUGAGAGGGUGAUCGGCAACAUUGGGACUGAGACACGGCCCAAACUCCUACGGGAGGCAGCAGUAGGGAAUCUUCCGCAAUGGGCGAAAGCCUGACGGAGCAAUGCCGCGUGAGUGAAGAAGGCCUUCGGGUCGUAAAACUCUGUUAUAAGAGAAGAACAAAUUGUAGAGUAACUGCUACAGUCUUGACGGUAUCUUAUUAGAAAGCCACGGCUAACUACGUGCCAGCCGCCGCGGUAA
rnacentral:rRNA from 1 species